ACUGACAGGCUAGUUUAUGUUUUCGUCGGUUUUCUGCCUGCGCCAUGUAUUGAACUGACUGAAUUUCUGAGGUUUUCUGAAUAAAUAAAACGAAAAUACUGUUAAUUAUAAGCUAGAGCUUUUAUAACUGAUGUCAAACUAUUGUGACGUUACUGCGAUUUCCAACAAGGGCAUACAACCUUUUUGGUGAUCAUGCUGGACGGUAGCUUGAUGGAUAUGGUUCUGACUACUCUGGGCGUACUUUUGAGUAUGGCGAUGUUAAGCUGUUUAUGCUGUAUUUGUAUGAAAUUCAGUGACCGCAAGAUGAAGAGUUAUGUAGUGGAAAUGGCUAAAAAGAAGGGUAUUAAAGUGGAUUUAGAUAAACUGGAUCCAAAAUACAAACAAUGUGAGUCGCCACAGUUAAACGAGAACUGCACAAUAAUGAUACCUGAUGUUGCCAUUGUUCUUUAGCUUAACCUGCUUGGUCAACAUUAUUUUUUAAAGCAGUGUACAGUCUAAUACAUAGGCACUUUAACGAAAACAAGCAAUAUCUUGAAAAAUGUUUUAAAUUUUAAAUAAUCCUAUGAUUGAAAUCACGUAACACCACAAAUACCGAUUUGGAAGUUGAGGAAUGCAGCACAUAUGUAUUGGGACACCCAUGUAAAAGUCAGUUGCUUGAUGUAUUUCAGUUUUGGCUUUGUUAAAAUCAAUUGCCAAUUUAUCUACUAUUCUAUAUCUGUGGGGAUACCAAUGAAUUUGCCAAUGUAUAAAGUAUAUAAGUUAACUCUAUAGACACUGCGCUCCUGAGCAAGUUAACCUUUUCCAAGUUUAUAGGAAUUGGCAUAUAGUCCCAACUUGCAGAACCCACGGACUUGGGUACUCUUGGGAACAGUUGUAAUACUCACAUCACCUUCUCGAAGGAACAAUCUGGAAUACUUUAAAAGUUAAAUUGAUACUAAACUUUUGUUUGACUAGAAGUCACAGAGAAGGUAGUUUUACAAACUAAGGAUAAAACUUGCUUUUAAAUAAUCUGAGAUAUAUGAGUAUGAUUCUAUUUGGGGUACAUACUCAAGUUUUUAUAAGAAUCUUUAAUCUUUUUAAGAAGAGUUUUCUUGUUGAAUUCUGUUAAAGGACUGAACUGAAGCAUUUGUCAGGAUAUUGAUCAAUGGUAUGAUUGUGAUAGGCUAAGAUUCUGUAGCUAUCUAUUGUAAUAUAUUUGGGGUAAACCCCAUGUUAGCUUAUUGCAUUGUAUUGUAUAAGCGAAAAUUGCCAAAUAAAAAAACUAAAACCACUGUGCGGUUAAUAUUAGCUAUAGUGUAAUGUGAAAUUAUAUUCUAAAUCCCAAUUCUAGGAUGUUGCAUGUCUCUAAUAAUUAUAUUUGACAUUCCGUAAUAGGAAUGCAUAGUUUUUACUAAGUGGAAAACCAGUAUUAAUUUAUGACCAAAGAAUUUAGGUAAUUAUUAUAUUUUUAUUUUGAUACUUUGAUAACUUAAUUUGGUAAUUUUUCACUGUUUUAAGGCUCAUAUUUCUGUAGCUCUCUCUGAAGUUCCUAAAUGAUUAAUAGACUUAGUAUUGCCUACAAGAUAACUCAAUACUUUUCUAUUUUUUAUCUGUUGGCCAAGAAGGGCUGUUUUUUAUGUAAAUUUUAUUAAUAUGAAGACAGAUUAGGUUUAGAUUGUGUAUAUUUAGUAAUAGUAUAGUAUUUUAGAAUGCACUUUACAGGUCAUAUUAAUAUUUUAAAUAUUACAAAAAUAAUUGUCUUGGUCACCUUGGCUCAUUGGAGCUUAGCAAGCUACAUAGUAGUGCUUUGUAAAUUAUUUGCUUCUUCGAAGCGCAAUUGAAACAGAAUUGUAUUAUACUUCUUAGCUUUCAGUAGCUUUCAAGUGUUCAAUUAUAAAGUGAGAUGGUAUUUAUCUACCGGUAGAUUGUAUUUGUAUUGAAUCGAGUAUUUGGUAUUUAUUACUACACUAAAAGAUAAACUGUAAUUUUACAUAAAAACAGAAAAUUAAUUAAAUAGUAAUGAUUAUUGUAGUACUAAAAUACCCCAUGAACGGCUCCGUAAUUUAUAUUGUGAGUUAGAUCUUAUCACUAAUGCACGUGAGUAUUGCAUUGCCUACGAAGGGCCCUAAUUCUAAUAUGACCAAUGACCAUAGACAUGUUAUGGCCUGGUUAUUAGAUUUACAUAUACAUACCGUCAUGAUUUCUAAUCUAGAUUCUUUUCUGCUACUGACUUCCCAAUUGUAUCAAAUACGAGGUAAAUAUGUAUAUUAAGCGUAGAAGUGUCCAACAUUUGCUACAGGUAAAAACUUAGAAUUUAUAAAAAAAUAUGUAUUAAGGGUAUUUUAGCUCAGUUGAACUCAUUCACUUUAAAAUAAAGUGAAUUAUAAUCUCACUAUGCCUAUAGAAGUAAGACAUUUUUGUGGAAAAACUUGCCUUAAUAGUGUGAACGUUCUUAUUCAGAUAUAUUUUUACAUAACUACCUUAAUGAAACUAAAUGCUCGAGUUUGUAUUUUUUUAAUAAUGAUCAAUACUCCGCCUAAAAUAGUUUUGUAUAUUGAUCUAUUCUCAUUGAUACCUACCUAUAGUCCUAUAUUUGAUGCCACAUUUUUGAAAAUGACUUUAAAUUUACUAUACACAGUAUACCACUUUUUUGGUAGUAAAACAGGCUGCGCUGACCCCUUAUAUAAUUGGGGUAAAGCCAGGAAGAUGAUGUCUCGGCCAAUUUUCUGUAAAUGUUUUGGAAAUACCUACACGUGUAAGUUAAAUCGCUAAAUGUACUCGAAAUUAACAACGCCUAAAUAAAAUUGAAUAGCUGAAAAAUGUAUUAUUUAUGAAACUCUAUUUUAAUUUUAAUAUCGUUUAACUCUAACAUGAACUCUUAGUACCAAUUUGAUGAGAGAAACAAUCAAUUGAUUAGAUUAAAGAUAGCUAAAAAAGAUUGAUAGCCCUUAUUGUACCUACACGUAAUACAUAUUGUUAUAUUAUGUGACUCUUAAACAUUUCUCCGUCAUUCGUUUUGCCGAUGAACGGUUCACCUACAGAACGUUUCUUUUAAUUUUUUUUUCGAUAGACCGUUUCAAUAACGAACGAUUAGCCGACACAACUUUUUGUUUAAUCCUGGGAUAUAAAACAUAGGCCUGUCAUGUAGACCUAUUUUCAUUUAUUCUUUACACCUGAAUCAAGUGACACCGAUUGUUAUUUAUAUCGAAUACGUAUGAUUUUUAUAUCCGUUCGUCAUUGAAACAUUCUAUCGGUGAAAAAAAGGUGAAUCGUUUAUCGGCGAAACUAAUGGCAGAGAAAUGUUUCAGAAUCUAUUAUUAUGGUACCUACUGUAAUUAUUAUAUUCUUCUAAAGUGUAGCGCACAAUAAGACUAUAUUAAGUAAAGAAUAUGCCAAAAAAUUUCUAUAUCCUUAAUUUAACUACACUAUCUACUAUCUAUUGAUGAUGCCCCUGCUUCAAAAAUGUAUAUACUGCCAUUGGUUUCGUGUGACUGAAAGAAUUAAGAUUCGAUUUAAAGAACAAAAUAUUAUAACCUUUAGAAAACGGAAAUAAAGUAAUUUCUUAAAAGCAA
rnacentral:lncRNA from 1 species